rnacentral:tRNA from 1 species
GGAUUGUAGCUCAGUGGUAAAGCGCUCGUCUAGCACUUAUGAGGCUCUGGGUUUGAUCCUCAGCACCA